AUCACUUAACCAUUUACCAUGUUUUGAGUCUUUACCUCUCCUUUGUUGCUUCUCUUUCCUUGGCACAGGAGUUAAAGUUGCCACUUAAAUCUGUGAAUCUGGGGAACUAGCUUGUCGUAGAGGGCUGGAUGCUAUUAGAACUCUAAUAAUAUACCCAGGAAACAUUUUUUGGAUGGGACUCGAGUGCAAUUCAAGUCCACAAAAAUUGCAGAAGUAUUUGUCCGUGAAACAAGGUGGUGGUUCCACUAUUCUUGUUGACAAGCUUGAACCCAGUGCUUGGGAAACUUUCAAGCUGUGGAGGAUCAGUCAAUCAUCUUUCAGCUUUAGAACCUAUGAUCAACAUUUUGUGGGAAGGUCAAAGGUUAGC